GCCUUCUCUCUUAGAAAUAUUAAAGAGACAACAUUAGUGACUAUAUGUUUAAAAGUAAAAACCUCAGAGUUUAAGAGAACAGUGUAAUGUGGUAGUGAAAUAACAGGUUAGCAUUAGCAAAACCUGGAUCUAGAAACCUACUGCCACCUGCUCACUAAACUUGAGUCUCAAUUUUUGUAUCUGCAAAAAAGAGAUUAAUACCUACUGCACAAAGUUAGGUUAAAGGAGAUAGUAUGUGUAAAAGAUUUGUCUUAUGAUUACUACAUUGCAGAUGUUCAAUAAAAAGUAGAUAUUACUAAGAAUGAAAGAGCGAUACAUUUACUGGAUUUAUGCCAACUGAAAGUGAUAAAUAAAAUGAUGUGGCCAGGUGCUGUGGCUCACACCUGUAAUCCCAGCAUUUUGGUAGGCCAAUGCAGAUGGAUUACCUGAGGUCAGGAGUUCAACACCAGUCUGCCAACAUGACAAAACACCAUGUCUACUAAAAACACAAAAAAUUAGCCAGGCGUGGUGGUGGGCACCUAUAAUCCCAGCUACUUGAGAGGCUGAGGCAGGAGAAUCACUGGAACUGGGUGGCAGCAGGGGUGGGCGGGUGGAGGUUGCAGUGAGCUGAGAUCAAGCCAUUUCACUCCAACCUGGGCAAAAAGCAAAACUCUAUCUCAAAAAAACAAACAAAAACAAAACAACAAUGUAGAUGCCACUGUUUUUAUAGGAAUGCUUGUUACUGCUGUAUAACCUGACUUUUCCUGACUAAUAAAGAUUUCAACUGAUGAUAUUUUGUUUUUAAAUAAUGGAACUACCAGGUACAGCUUUCUCUACUGUGAACUUUGGUCACAGUGGAUAUCAAACUCUUUAAGCAAUCAGCCAUCUGCAAGGAUGCCAAGCACAGAUCCUCCUACUUAGAAAUGUCACUUGCAGAGGCCAAGAUGAAAUGCCUCUGUCAGGCAUACACUUCCUGCUAGGUGUUAAGUCUCAUAUUUAACCAGAUAUUCUGUUGCUUUAUUUUCUAGCCACAAUUUCUGUUGAGGAUGAGGUGUUCUUGAGACACCGUAAGAGAAAGCCUUUCUCAGCCUCUUUCUUUCUUUCCUUCUUUCUUUCUCUCUCUCCUUCCUUCCUUCCUUCCUUCCUUUCUUUCAUUCAUUCUUUCUUUCUUUCUUUCCUUUUUCAAGAUGGAGUUUCACUCUUGUUGCCCAUGCUGGAGUGCAAUGGCACGAUCUCCACUCACCACAACCUCCGCCUCCUGGAUUCAAAUGAUUCUCUUGCUUCAGCCUCCCGAGUAGCUGGGAUUACAGGCUCCCUCACAGCUGUUAGGCCAAUAGGACCCAAUCUGGCUGGUCUUCAAAGGGGUAGUCUGCCAAUGGGUCUGAAAAUCCCUUGUUUCUUCAUAAAAUGACUUCGCAAGCUCCAUGUUCCCGGCUACCCUUUCCUUCCUUCUUCUUCCUGC
rnacentral:lncRNA from 1 species